rnacentral:rRNA from 1 species
UACGAAGGGGGCUAGCGUUGCUCGGAAUCACUGGGCGUAAAGCGCACGUAGGCGGAUUGCUAAGUCAGGGGUGAAAUCCUGGAGCUCAACUCCAGAACUGCCUUUGAUACUGGCGAUCUUGAGUCCGGGAGAGGUGAGUGGAACUGCGAGUGUAGAGGUGAAAUUCGUAGAUAUUGGGAAGAACACCAGUGGCGAAGGCGGCUCACUGGUCCGAUACUGACGCUGAGGUGCGAAAGCGUGGGGAGCAAACAGG